CGAGCGAUCGAUGGGAGCUUGCUCCCUGAGAUUAGCGGCGGACGGGUGAGUAACACGUGGGCAACCUGCCUAUAAGACUGGGAUAACUUCGGGAAACCGGAGCUAAUACCGGAUACGUUCUUUUCUCGCAUGAGAGAAGAUGGAAAGACGGUUUACGCUGUCACUUAUAGAUGGGCCCGCGGCGCAUUAGCUAGUUGGUGAGGUAAUGGCUCACCAAGGCGACGAUGCGUAGCCGACCUGAGAGGGUGAUCGGCCACACUGGGACUGAGACACGGCCCAGACUCCUACGGGAGGCAGCAGUAGGGAAUCUUCCGCAAUGGACGAAAGUCUGACGGAGCAACGCCGCGUGAACGAAGAAGGCCUUCGGGUCGUAAAGUUCUGUUGUUAGGGAAGAACAAGUACCAGAGUAACUGCUGGUACCUUGACGGUACCUAACCAGAAAGCCACGGCUAACUACGUGCCAGCAGCCGCGGUAAUACGUAGGUGGCAAGCGUUGUCCGGAAUUAUUGGGCGUAAAGCGCGCGCAGGUGGUUCCUUAAGUCUGAUGUGAAAGCCCACGGCUCAACCGUGGAGGGUCAUUGGAAACUGGGGAACUUGAGUGCAGAAGAGGAAAGUGGAAUUCCAAGUGUAGCGGUGAAAUGCGUAGAGAUUUGGAGGAACACCAGUGGCGAAGGCGACUUUCUGGUCUGUAACUGACACUGACGCGCGAAAGCGUGGGGAGCAAACAGGAUUAGAUACCCUG
rnacentral:rRNA from 1 species